GACCGCUCCGGUGGCUUAGUGGUUAGAGCGUCCACCUCGGAUGCGAGAGGUAGCGAGUUCGAACCCCAGUCGAGUCA